CCAAACAUUUAAAUCUUCUAUAGAAUAAACAUCUUCAAUUUUCAUCAAGUCUUCUUUAAUACGAUCCACAUCUAAAUGCCUCGGGACUCCUGUGAUACCAAACCCCAUUCUCUGGAGCUCCUGAGGACUAGCUGGAAAAGCUCUGUAACAUACACUAAGACCACCUUUCAUCACUGUAAUAACAUCGUUAAUUCAGACAUCUCUAUAACAGCUGGGAUGCAAACAGAAGUCGGCAAUAAAUUCAUAUGAAACAGAUGGGAUGGUGCAGGCAGCCUUCAUCCAAAUGGGGAGUCAAGGACAGGCAGUGUCAUCUUCCAUCUGCAUGAAGAUAUCCCCAUUUUCUCAGAAAAGACCACAUCUCCAGCAUCAGCUCAACUAUUACUUCAUUUCUCAUUUUACUUUGAGAUCAUUCAAACUGGAGAUUCUAGCAAGCAGAGCAUGCAGCUGGCGUGCCACUUGGCAGGCAUCAGGCUCCAGCCAACAUAUCUCGAGUAAAGGUAUCUUUGUACACAAUUAAAAGCCUCUUAGUGAAGAGGCUGACCACGAGGAGAGCGAAGGGAAAUUCACAGCAGGCUGACUGCUUUCAAGAUCAGUGAAAAACAUGUGUGCAGCCAUCUAUCUGGGAGUGCCCACCUGCAAAGCUACGCCUUCUUCCCAGCCACACAAAUAGCAAGGCUGACACUGUGGGGGUUCCUCGUUCUGCCUGUAACUACUGACUGCACCUACCUCUGUUCCACCUGUUCCUGUCCUCCAACCCCUUUAUUAAGAUGUCUCUAAGUCUCAGAGUGAAACUUAGAGGUUGAAACUCUGCACAGGCCAUCACAGCUCAAAGAUAAUUUGCUUUCUCACAUAAUUUCAGAAGAUAUGUCCUAGGAAUGUGCAACUCAGCCUGUUCUAUUGUCAGCACAGAAUAAAACAAUUACGUCUAAGGACAUUCACUUCAAUGCUUUCUGCAUAUGAUCAUUUACAGUACAUAUGUUAAUCCAUGAGUAUGAAAUUGAGAAGUGCUUCAGCCCAAGGUAAGCCAACUCCAUUUCAGCUAGUCUCUCCAGAGACUACAUAAACAGAGAAUUCAGAUAUUAAAAGUCGUCUUACUGGAGCACGUGAUCGAGAAAGUAUCAUUGAGAUGAAUGAAAUUCUGAAUUUGAAGGCCCUCUGUUUCCCACUACAUAGGUUCAUUGCUUGGCGAAGUGCUGCCCGGGGGCUGCUGAAACACAAUCAACAACUUGAGAGGGAGAAAACAGGAAAACAGACCUCUACAACUUUCAUGAAGAAGCCUUGAAAGCUCACCACUGUUUUCACCAACCUGUGAAGGACAGCAGUCCUCCUUGUGAAUGAUCAAUUAGAAAUCUCUGAACAUAACUGAAUGCAUCAAAAAGCUGUCAAGGAAGGUGACUGGAUUUGCGUUGUUUUCUGUUUCUUCAUGCAAAACAGUUCCCACAAAGCGAUCUGACUUCUACAGUGACUGUUCUUCAAAUUAAGCAACCAACACUGAUGUGGGCUGGAUUCAUGAGCUUGGCAGUAAUUGGAAAAAAACAUAUGCCAAUUGAGAUUUCACAAAGCAGCUGCUGGAACACAAUUUCCUUCAUCUUGACAUUGGUACCAGACAGCAGAAAGUUUUCUACCAAAUUGUCUGACAGGCUCUUCUGCCCUUCCUGCAGAAAUUCAAAUCUGGCAAAGAUAACAGGAAGAGGUCUGUUAAUGUCCCACAUAGCCAAAGUCUCACAAAUACUUUGGCUAUAGGUUUGUCUAAAAAGUGCCAAAAUUUCAAACCAAAUGGGUCAGGACUCAACCCUGGGCCAGAGUGAAAUACACAGAACAGUUAGUGUGCUGACUUAGGGCUUGCACGCUGCUUCUUCACUUAUUCUGCUGCUGAUUGCCUGCCAUAUGACAAGGUAUUCACGUCAAGACCUACAAAAGUGCACAGAUGCCCAAGUCCUACUUGUUCUCUCUGGAAAUUGGAUGCCUGAAUAUUUUAUGGGUCUGGGCUUCAGCGCUGUCUGCCGCAGUGCCCAAAUACUGCACCAGGGCUGGUAACCGCAUACAGGAACCUGAGAAUGAUGAGUCCACACUACAGCAGCAAUGCUUCAUAAGGAGAAAUCAGUCACUCUGACCUGAGACUGCCGAAGUCCUGGUUGUAAGGGAGAAACAGUGGAUAAAGUGACAAUGAUAGAGUAUUUUUCCUCUCAACACCUAUUAUUUCUGGAGCUGACCAGGCACUACAUAUGGAGAUAUCUACAACAGUGUGAAAACACAGACUCUGUGACUUCAGCAUCAAGCUGCCAACAGCUCAGGAACAUUACUCAGCAUUGUGCCCUUCAGAUGGACUAAAUUCAGUGUGUAUCAGAAUGCUAUGUGAGUACAAUUAAAUGAAGUCACGCUUACCACAAAUGAUGUCCACAGCUGAGAAGCAACACUACACUAACACUAAUCCCUCAUCAAAUUUACCUGAGUUCACACUGUGCCAAAAUCUCAGCCAGAGAAAAAAGAGCCAGAGGCAAAUGAAGGCAUUCAACCAGAUCCCUGCAAGCCUGAAGCCGAGUGCUGAUCUGUGAUGAGCUGAUGCAUUGUGCCAGUGUUACUAACGAUUAACCGCACAUUGAAAGCGAGGUGCUGAGAGACAAAGCCACUGUUUUCUCUUAACCCACAUUCCUGAAACAAGGCCCAAACAAAACUGCGGUGCAGAUGCAGUCAGUUAUCUGCUCUCCUUCUGAAAAAAAUGGCCAUUUCUCAUACCACUUUUUAUUUUGCUCUAUGAAUGUGGGACAAACGGUAUCAUUUUGUGGUACAAUACCUGAGGCAUCUUUCCUUCAAAUUUAUUUCUUCUGGCUUUUUGGCUGGUGAAUUACGGCCACUAAAUUCACUAAAUUUUCUAUUAUUUGGACCUGUGUGUUAAAAUGUGAGCAAUUUGAGUGAAAUUAGUUGUCAAUCAUUGUCUGCUGCUAAAAAGAUUGGGCACAAGUUAACAGACUGUCUAAUAACUGAUGGUGCAGUGCAUCCCGUCCAGGCACUGUGCAUCACUCCCUGCUGCUUCAAACCAGCCAAAAUGAAGGAGUUUCAGCAUUCUGCAGGUGGCUGAGCAGCCUCAAGUGCUUGCACUGAACAUCAUGGGCAGAUCCAAAACCAGGUGGUAACAGGCACUGAUACUGCAUUGGUAAGUGAUCAAAGAUAAAUAGUACACCUCGUAAAAAUGGGUAGAUAAUGGCAAAGGCAUAACAUUUAAUACCAUCCGGAGGACUUCAGACCUUAAAUUUUAUGUUAAGCCCUGUCACUGUAGCCACUAAAUACAGUUGUGUUUUGUACAGACUGCUCUAUUAUGCACAGGUUCUACUCAACCUUAAUAGCAAAUGACAGCAUGCCUUUAUGAGAGAGUAAUAAAAGCUGAACUUGAGCACCAGACUCACUCUUCUAGGUAAAACCAGCAGAUCUUUUCCAAGUACUAACAAACAAAAACCACAAAGAACGUGAUUUAACCACGGAACUUAACACUGUGAAGUGUUAAAACAUCGCUUGUUCUAAAUUGGAUCAUAUGUUUUAUGUCUGGUUGGAGCACACACUGGUCCAGAGCACCGUGGGACAUCAGGAAGUUGUCAAGAGAGCACUCUGCACUGCACUGUUGGGCAGUUUGUCUUCCAGAGUGCAUCACUGGAUGUGACAGCUAGAGAUAAAUCCCAACAUAGGUUUUGUCGUUAUGUUAACGUCACUCUUGGAAACUCUAUUUGCCUGCUGUCCUUGCAAACACAGCAAGAUUUUAUGGCAAUAAUUAAAAAACACUGGAGAUAAAAUUACCCAUCCUUCAUGCAUACCCGUGUGACAGCACGCAGUCCUCCCUUGACAAUCAGACCUUAGAAACUUACAGAACAGGAGCAGUACAAAGCUGCGAGCCAACAAAAUGCCCACUUUGUGCCAUUCCGGGGAGGUUAUGAGCUUCAGAAAUCCUUGCUGAACACCUCGCAGGUC